rnacentral:lncRNA from 13 species
CAUUCAUUCUUCCCCAUCUAUCCAUGUAUCCAUUUAUCCCUCCAUCCCCAUCUAUCCGUCCACUCCCCAUCCUUCCACCCAUCCAUCUAUCCACUCACCCAUCCAUCCACCUAUGCCUCCAACUCAUCUACCAUCCACUACCCAUCCCCACCGAUCCCCCAUCUAUGCAUCCAGCUAUCCAUCCCCUAUCCACCCAUCCAUCCAUUCCCCAGCCAUUUGCUCAUCUGUCCCCCAUUCACCCAUCCACCCAUCCACUUACAGGUGGAUGCAAUCCUGUUGGAUUGGAUUCACCCUGCAUUCAUCUACCAUCCACCCAUCCAUUCCCUAUCCAGCUCCCAUUCAUCCACCCAUCCAUCUGCCCAUCCACCCACCCAUUCAUCAUCCAGCCCCCAUCUAUGCAUUCUUUCAUUCCCCAUCUUGCCCCCACAAACCCACCAUUCAUUCAUUUGUUCUCUUGACAGCUGCCUUCCACGCAUCCCCACCCCACCUACCUGGGCUCAACACAGGAAGUAAAGCAGGACUCCUGUGUACCCGAAGCUCCCAGUGCGCUGGGAGUACGCCCAUGAGACGGAGAGGCCACAUUCACCAUGGACGAGCAGAGGAGGAAGGACACAGGGACAAAGGUGUCACAGACAAGUCCACUGAGGCCGGGAGGACCCUGGUGACUUUCUCCAAAUCCUGCAGCGUUGGAGCCUGGCUGUAAACUCUGAUCUGGAUGGGAGGAGCCAUGCACUCCCCUGUCAGCCACGACUUGCCCACCUCUCCAGACCGGAUCUCCCACCUCUCCAGACCAGAUCUCCCACCUCUCCAGACCAGAUCUCCCACCUCUCCAGACCAGAUCUCCCACCUCUCCAGACCAGAUCUCCCACCUCUCCAGAAUGGAUCUCCCACCUCUCCAGACUGGAUCUCCCACCUCUCCAGACCAGAUCUUCCACCUCUCCAGAUUGCCUCUCCCACCUCUCCAGAUCUCCUCUCCCACCUCUCCAGAUCGCCUCUCCCACCUCUCCAGAUGGGAUCUCUGCUUGGGACCAGCCCACAUCACCACCUCCCCAGGCAGCCUCUUCUGAUGACGCCAUCACUUUCCAGUUCCGCAGCCCCUGUGUCUGGCUUCAUCCUUUACCACAUGACGGAGCUCCUCUCCCCAUGUGGGUGCAAGUCCCAGAGAGCAGUGUUCAAGGUGUGCCACUUACUCCUAGGUGCAGGCGAUGACAGGACUCACAUGAGCGCUCAGAAAAUCUCCUGCUCCUGCUUGAUGGUCAGAAACAGGCCCAGAGCUCUGCCAUGAGGGCCCCAAGCCCAGGGCCUGGCUGAAAUCUUUGGGUAUCCUCAGCCAUGGCCUGGGCAGGCCCGGGGUCAGUGCUGCAUGAAUGUCCGUGGGACGAGUGGAUGAUGAAUGCACAGUGAUCCUUGCUGGGGAUGCCAAUGCUGCUAGUUUAGGAAAAGAAAGGGCAGAUGAGGUGACCCCUGCCCCCAUCCCUGUCCACAUCCUCCACAGGCCCCUCAGGGAUUACAUGGUUUUGUCAAUGUCCACAGUCCUGGGAGGGGCAGCCCUGGUGCCCAGGGGACACCGAUGUUCUGGAGUGAAGUGGCUUUCCCAGGGGCAGCUCUGGUCCCUGGGCCCGGGCACUCUGCCCUGCUCACCCGACCCUCAAGCCCAUACCCUCCCUGCUGCCCCACAGCACGGGUCCAGCUCCUGCAUGGGCCUGAGCAGCUGGACAGGUCAGGGAGAUGAGCACUUGAGCCCCAGGCACCUCUUUGCCAAGGCACGCCCCUCCUGGCUCAUCCUCGAGAAUUUGUGGGGGGAUUCCCACUGUCCCCUGGCUGCCUGCUGCGUGGCAGUAGACACUGUUUGGAUCCAGAGCAAAUUGGCUCUAAUUACACACCAGAUGACAGCUCAGAGGAGCCAGUGGGAAGGGGUUCUCCCAGGGGAGGGGACAGGGCCUGCUUAGUGCGGCAGCCAGGCAGCUCUCUCCACUGGCCUCCCUGCUGGCUUCCAUGCCAGUGCCUCCUCUCUACCCCCUGGGCUGAGACAGCAGGGCUGGGGGAGUUGGUGGGCGCCUGUGGCAGGAAGGUAAGGGUGAAGGUGUGCAUCUGUGUGGGAAGCUGCACGCCCAGGAAGCAUUUGCCCAAACCAGACUCCUCGAGAUACGUUGUGCAGCUUGGCAUGGAGUGGGCCUUCAGCCGGCAGGUUGAGAACCUCCGGGAGGACAGGAGGGGCUCACUGGCUUUGGGCUGUGUUUUGAGGAUAAAAGGAAACAGUGUCACUAGUACAAUAAAGAUCAUCAAUGUCACUUUGCUUUCA